GAACACAUAUUGCGCUCUCUGGUAUUCCGGAGAGCAUGCUUGUUUGAGUAUCAGUAAACACCUCAACUCCCUUUCUUCUUGAAAUGGAGCUGGACUUGAGUGAUCCCAACGCUUUAUUCAUAAAGUGGCGGGUUACUUUAAAUGCAGGUGCAGCUGGACUUUUCUCUGAGCUAUAAGCAUAUCUAUUUAGUCUGCCUCAAAACAGAUUAUUACCUUUGCUGCAGCUAACAUAAAGGAGAUUAGUUCUUGUGCUGACUGAUGCAGGAUUCACAAAGACCGCUUCGGCUGUCUUUGUAAACUCGAUCUCAAAUCAAGUAAGACUACCCGCUGAACUUAAG
rnacentral:misc_RNA from 1 species